AGAUGAAGAACGUAGCGAAAUGCGAUACUUGGUGUGAAUUGCAGAAUCCCGUGAACCAUCGAGUCUUUGAACGCAAGUUGCGCCCGAAGCCAUCAGGUUGAGGGCACGUCUGCCUGGGCGUCACAUAUCGUUGCCCAAUGCCUAUUGCAGUGCAAUAGGAAUUUCUAGGGCGAAUGAUGGCUUCCCGUGAGCGUUGUUGCCUCGCGGUUGGUUGAAAAUCGAGUCCUUGGUAGGGUGUGCCAUGGUAGAUGGUGGUCGAGUUAGAACGAUACCGAUCAUGUGCAUGCUCCCCAAAAUAUGGCCUCUAUGACCCACACGCGGCUUUUGACGCUCAUGACGAGACCUCAGGUCAGGCGGGGCUACCCGCUGAAUUUAAGCAUAUCAAUAAGCGGAGGA
rnacentral:misc_RNA from 1 species